rnacentral:tRNA from 1 species
GGAUUGUGGCUCAGUGGUAGAGUGCUUGCCUAGCACAUGAGAGGCCCUGGGUUCGAUCCUCAGCACCA